UCAUGAUGUCCGGAACCCGGGCAGUGGAAGGUGAUGAGGACUCCAAAGGUUGGGCUGAGAGAUGUCCCCGCCCCGCCCCACCAGCUGAGACACAAGGUGCUUUCACUAGAGGCCUCGGGAUCCAGCCGGCUUUCUCCCGGUGGAAUGAGAGCAGAAAUGGGGCCUAAAAUGGUGGUUCAAAGCCUUCGAGAUCCCUUGGACCAGCUGCAUUUCUCCUCAAAUUAUAGAACCAACAACACUAAAUAGACAUCUUUUUAAUUUUG